rnacentral:rRNA from 1 species
UGCGGCGGUCAUAGCGGCGGGGUCACACCCGGUCUCGUUUCGAUCCCGGAAGUUAAGCCCGCCAGCGAUCCCGGUUGUACUGCCCUCCGAGAGGGGG